rnacentral:tRNA from 1 species
GUUUGCGUAGCUCAUCAGGUAGAGCACAAGCCUCCUAAGCUUGGGGUAAACGGUUCAACUCCGUUCGCAAACGCCA